rnacentral:rRNA from 1 species
UAGGGAAUCUUCCACAAUGGACGCAAGUCUGAUGGAGCAACGCCGCGUGAGUGAAGAAGGUUUUCGGAUCGUAAAGCUCUGUUGUUGGUGAAGAAGGAUAGAGGCAGUAACUGGUCUUUAUUUGACGGUAAUCAACCAGAAAGUCACGGCUAACUACGUGCCAGCAGCCGCGGUAAUACGUAGGUGGCAAGCGUUGUCCGGAUUUAUUGGGCGUAAAGCGAGCGCAGGCGGAAUGAUAAGUCUGAUGUGAAAGCCCACGGCUCAACCGUGGAACUGCAUCGGAAACUGUCAUUCUUGAGUGCAGAAGAGGAGAGUGGAACUCCAUGUGUAGCGGUGGAAUGCGUAGAUAUAUGGAAGAACACCAGUGGCGAAGGCGGCUCUCUGGUCUGCAACUGACGCUAAGGCUCGAAAGCAUGGGUAGCGAACAGGAUUAGAUACCCUGGUAGUCCAUGCCGUAAACGAUGAGCGCUAGGUGUUGGGGACUUUCCGGUUCUCAGUGCCGCAGCAAACGCAUUAAGC